rnacentral:lncRNA from 1 species
GUUUUGAGGAAUAGGUUUCAAUUUGGGAAAAUUGAGAUUUAGGGUGUGAUCGAUUGUUUGCAUGUGUGUUAGGUUUAUGAUGCUCCUUGCAUUUCAUUUUCCUCCAUUUCUUGUAGAAACUGGUAAAGAAAUGUGUUUGUUUGGUUUAAGGUAAGAAUGGAAACAGGGAGAGAAGAAGAGAGGCUCGUUGCUUUUGUGUGAGUAUUAAUUCCGGUUUUUGGAGGAAACUUGUGUUUCUUAAACAAGGACUUAUAAUGUAAUUAAUAAAUUGGUUUUAUUUGGUUUUAAUAUACAUGAAUGAUCAUUAGUUAGUUAGCUGGCAAAUUCAUUUGGUUUUCUACCGUUGGGAAAGCCAAAAGGUUUUAAUUACCACAUGUCUCAAGCGGCUGUACAGCUGCCUUCCACUUGGAUCGAUGAAGUGAGUGAUUGCAGACUUGAGGUCUCUUCACCUUUUGCAUUUUCUUUACUCUGUUUAUUUUAGAAUGUAACAAAGUUGUUAUUGGGCCUUAGAGCCCACUGCGAAGCCACCUACUGUUGAGGCCCUCUAUUGGGCCUCCCCCCUGAUCCAUUAUUUUAGAGCUUCACUCACUUUUAUUCCAAUUUAAUUGAUUUAAUUUACUAUAUAUUUAGGACAUUUUAAAUUAAAAAUUGAGAUGACUAUGAUUAAAAUAAUAAUAGUAGAAAUUCUAUUCAAUUUGUUUUUGACUUUUUUUUAUUUGUUUUAUUUAUUUUAUUCACUUAUAUCUUUAUUUAUUUUCGUUAGGACGUUACGAACUAAUUGAAAAGAGAAUUUAAUAGAUAAUUCCUCUAAAAAAAACAAACAAUCUAGGUCCAAUACCAAAUAGUCCUUCUCAAAGUAUAUUAAUUCUAAAUAAAUUCAAAUCCAC